ACAGCCUGAAGUCAAGGGAAACUUGGUGUGUGCGUGUGUGUGUGUGUACACGCAAGUGAAGAGGUGAGGCUGUGUCUUUGGCAGUCACUAGGACACAGAGUCUCUGGUCCAGUUUCCUCUCGGCAUCCCCGGUGCUUCCUCUGUGUCCCCACUCGGUUUGUGCUGUGACGUCAGCUCUUAUCUGACUUCUGGAGAGAGCUGCAGGAAAAUACUUGGGAGAAACUUACCUGGCCAUAUUCCUUUUCUUUGAAACUUUACAAAGCAACCUUUCCCCAACCUCCAAGUCAUACCUUUCUGGUUCCCUGGUUCCUUUUCUGACCUCACACUGACCCCCGUGCCCUUCGUAUAUGUAUGUGCACACACAUACAUACACACCCACACCCACACACACACACACACACACACACACACACACACACACAAUUUGAUAUCUGGCACCACGUGGACCUCUGUGCUCCUCAACCCCAGCGCCUCCCUUCCUUAGUUUUGACAGGGAGACUCUAUGAUUUUUGAGUUGAAUACAUAUCAGAGAUGGGGAUUGACUGACUAGUGAAAGGCCUUUGUCCUCAGGGUCUUCGCUCCCUGGUAUAGGUGGGGUGCAGGGCUGGUUCGUGACUGCCCUUGCAGGAGUGGAAGUUUCCUGAUGUUCUGACUUUCCAAAUUCUUGCUCUAAGCCUUCUAACUCUGACUGUUGCCUUCUGCCUGUCUCCAGCUCCAAACUGUCACAGGAUGUCUGGUGCCAUUGGACAUCUCUUACGCGCC
rnacentral:lncRNA from 1 species